rnacentral:rRNA from 1 species
UAGGGAAUCUUCGGCAAUGGACGAAAGUCUGACCGAGCAAAGCAGCGUGAGUGAAGAAGGUUUUCGGAUCGUAAAACUCUGUUGUUAGAGAAGAAAAAGGACGUUAGUAACUGAACGUCCCCUGACGGGAUCUAACCAGAAAGCCACGGCUAACUACGUGCCAGCAGCCGCGGUAAUACGUAGGUGGCAAGCUUUGUCCGGAUUUAUUGGGCGUAAAGCUAGCGCAGGCGGUUUCUUAAGUCUGAUGUGAAAGCCCCCGGCUCAACCGGGGAGGGUCAUUGGAAACUGGGGGACUUGAGUGCAGAAGAGGAGAGUGGACUUCCCUGUGUAGCGGUGAAAUGCGUAGAUAUAUGGCGGAACACCAGUGGCGAAGGCGGCUCUCUGGUCUGUACCUGACGCUGAGGCUGGAAAGCGUGGGGAGCAAACAGG